UGGUUAGCUCAGUUGGUAGAGCGCUCCACUUGUAAUGGAGAGGUCCCGGGUUCGAUACCCGGACCA
rnacentral:tRNA from 1 species